GUCUGCACCGUGGUCCACAGGAUCCGGCUUCACUACAGCUGUCCUAGGCACCCACAAACCUCCCAGUGCCAUGGCCAGCAAGGGCUUGAAGGACCUGAAGCAGCAGGUGGAGGGGACGGGCCAGGAAGGUGCCGCUGCAGGCCAGUCAGUGGACCCCCCCGAGGCUGCACAGAAAGGAGCUGAGAAGCCCCAGGAAGCCACCGACAAGGCUGCCAACCAAGGCUCUGAUGGGGCCACGGGGAAGAAGUUCAGCCACCAGAAAUGAGGCUGCCCCUCUCAGCCCUGUUCAUGGAACUGGGCCCUGAUGCCCCAUAGGCAGCUCCCUCCUGGUCUGCCCUUCCCCAAUAAAG